GACUCUCACAAAAACCCUGCUACUAAAUUUGGAACGAUACAGAGGAGAUUAGCAUGGCCUCUAACCAAGGAUGAAAUGCCUUGACAUGCUGAGAAUGAUGAAUAU